rnacentral:rRNA from 1 species
UACGAAGGGUGCAAGCGUUUACUCGGAAUUACUGGGCGUAAAGCGCGCGUAGGCGGUUUGUCGCGUCUGCCGUGAAAGUCCGGGGCUCAACGUCCGGGAUCUGCGGUGGGUACGGGGCAGACUAGAGUGGAUGUAGGGGGAGACUGGAAUUCCUGGUGUAGCGGUGAAAAUGCGCAGAUAUCAGGAGGAACACCCGAUGGCGAAGGCAGGUCUCU